UACGUAGGGUGCGAGCGUUAAUCGGAAUUACUGGGCGUAAAGCGUGCGCAGGCGGUUUUGUAAGCCAGAUGUGAAAUCCCCGGGCUUAACCUGGGAACUGCAUUGGUGACUGCAUUGCUGGAGUAUGGCAGAGGGGGGUGGAAUUCCACGUGUAGCAGUGAAAUGCGUAGAGAUGUGGAGGAACACCGAUGGCGAAGGCAGCCCCCUGGGCCAAUACUGACGCUCAUGCACGAAAGCGUGGGGAGCAAACAGG
rnacentral:rRNA from 1 species